GGGGCUAACAAUUCCUUGCCACACCCUUCCUGAAUCCUCUCUUUAGCCACUUCAACACUCAACCUUCACACACCACCCUCCUAACCAAUCAAAAUUCAUGCAUACCCGUCACACUCACUCUCUACUCAUUUUCCCUCAACUUAGCAAACAAGUUAGGUUCUCUCUCUCUCUCACCAAAAACGCUUCAGAUGACCCUCAAUUGAACCAAGAGCACUCAUAUCCUCUUCUGAAACACACAAAUUCGUUAACCACCAAGUAGGAAGGAAGAGUCACUCUAAAAUCUUUGCACUAGUUUUGUGUUGUGCUUGCAAGGCUUGGAAGCUUACAUAAUCUUAACCACCUCUUCCUCUAAUUUUCAUGUAGCAGUGAAAUCUAUGGUCAGCGGGUCUUUUUGGUGAACGCAACCCUGGAAACCAUGGAUCAUACUACGGGUAAAGAGAUGACACUAUCUCGAGGAUAAGUGCACUUGGAGGUGAUGGAUACACGAUGUGAUUAGAGGCGUAGAUAACUUCCUUGGGUAUACUGGUUAAUUAUGCUCAAACACCUACUGACUUAUGCUUGGGUGUAGUUUCCAAAUUGGCUUGGGUGUUAGAGAUUACUACUCUAAGUCCAAGACCUUUAUCUCUCAAUGUAUUUGUUAUGGGUAGGCCUAGGCUUCAGACUUUUAUUUCUAUAUUCAACCAUCAGAUUCCAUUAUAUGCGCCUUGACUCACUCAUGCCCUUGGAUGUAUUUAACACUUUCAAAACUCAGUAUGCUUGUGUAUUUAUGCACUCUUUACAUGUAUUUCAGCAGUUUUAAGUUAUUUAAUUUCUCUUUCCUUUCAUCUAAAAAGGUUGUUGAUUGACAAUGAUCUUAGGCUCUUAGAUAAAGGUGAAGUUGUGAGGAGUUUUAUAAUGUUAUCCUUAUAUUUGUAUUUUCUUCUGAUAGCCAUAAAACCAUUAAUGAUAGUUUUUAAUAUUUGAAAC